CGGCGCCGCCGGUGCUGGAGCGCGGCUGAGGCAGGGGAGCGGCUCUCGGCCCGCCAGGGCCGGGGGGGGGAGCCCCGGGGGGGGAGCCCGGGUUGCCCUCGCAGCUGCUCCGCGGGCCCGAGAGCUGGCAGCUGCCCGUGUUCCGUGACGGGCGCUGCUGCUGCGGAAGCUGCGUGGGAACAUUCUUUGAGAUCCGAGGCUUGCGACCUCUCCAGGGAAAGAGCUGCUGGUCAGAAAAAUACGAGGAGGACUUCUCGGUCCGGGGGCUGGAUUUUGGUUUUAAAGUCCAUGUAAAAAAAAUAAUGCAAGGAAAGAUCUGUGCCUGCUUGCGGGCCCGGCAGAUGGGGCGGUGGAGCAGGAGCGGAGGCAUUUUCCCAGGCAGCUUCCAGCAGUCCGGCUGAAUAACUGCUUCUGCUGAAGCAAAAGCAGCACUACUGAAUUCUUCACCCUGGGAAUCGCCUUCCUGCCAGCUAAAAUGCGACCUUUGGUAUCAUUAUGUCAGCUACAGCAUUCUGCUAGGACCAGAUUAAGAAAAGAAAGCAAAGAAGGGUCUGCUAAUUACAGCGAUCACAAGAUCCUGGUUCCUGUCGACCUCCAAAGCAAGCAACGAUCAAAACCAUCACAGCCACUGCCUGCCUCAUUCCAACACUUCUCCCUAAAGCACGGCGUGCUUUCAGAGACCAUCAGCAACAACAUCCCAUGGGAGUGUCCAUGGCAGAGGUGCUGGGUCUGAUGCCUGACCACAGGGCAUGUGUGAGAGGCGAGGACCCGACUCUACCAGGGCCUAUAAACAGACGGGGGGGGGGGGGGAGGCAACUUCUGCCUCAGAGGACUUGCAGACUACGGAGCACGGACAAAACUGAGGCGGCAGCAACCACCGUGAUUGAAGUACCAGGUACAGGAUCACACGAGUGAUCCUCAAGUUCAACCCCUGAACUGUUGAUGACAGCCUCAGACCCCCAAGGCAAAGUGCAUCUUAAAUAGAGUGAUGAUUUUUAAAUUGCUCAGCUCCUAUUUAAGACACCUAAAACUUAUUACUCCUACUGUCGCCACAGUCUGAUGCCAGGCACUUAAUUUAACUUCCCAAGUUAAGAGCCUAUCUCCCUUGCUAGGCACAUCAUUGAUGUGGAAAUGUAGAUCCCAUUUUGCCUAGAAGCGCCUCCAGCAGAUGCACCAUAACUGCUGCCUGUCCUAUGCUGGCCUCUGGAGAGACCUUCCCUCCUGCACGGACCACAGAGAGAGUCAAGGCUUCCAACUUUGGUUCCAUUGGAGAUGCCUGCAUUAUGUAGUUUAACUACACUCCUUCUGUUUCCUGUUUAAAAUAUUCCAAACUGCCCAUAUCAUAUUUGGGUGGCUCCUUCUUGGGCCCCUUUGGGAGCUCAUGCACAGCUUCUCUAGAAUUAUGCUUUGUGUGAUGUCCAAAGGUGGUCUAUACUCCCCAUCAUUGCCUUAAUGGAAGACACGUGCAGGAAUCCCUGUAUGAUUUUUACACCCCAAGACCUGGAGAUGCACACCCAACCUUCCCAACUUAUAUUAGGGGUCAGAAGCAAGUGACAACAAGUAGACUCUUCACAAGGACAGGUACAGGAUCCACUCUGCAGUGGCAAAGCAGACUUCCAGCACACAGAGGCAUAGCAGCUUUGACUGUCAAGGCACAGAAAUCAGCUCUACCAUCUUUCUUCCAUUGGCAUAGCUUUGCAUCCUUCAGCCUGACCCUCGCAAAGUUCCUUCUUGCUAUCUGGCAGUUACAGUCCCACAAGUUUUGCAGGUGUUUCCAGUUGGGAUGAGCACUGUAACAAGUUUUAUGCUACUAAUGCCUUAAGACAGGGGAAACUUGAGGAACAAAAGGGACAGGUGAGCGAAAGACCACGCCACGCAGCCAGCACUGGGCACGCAGAUCACACAUCAGCCACAGUGUGAGUACUCACCACUGGAAUGUCCUGCAGGAAAGGGGCCGGUGACAGUGUCCGGGCUGAGAGGACAUCAAACAAGGCAGUGGCACAGGAUGGGGGCCCUCCAGCUUCUGCAAGAAUCAAGAUAAUUCUCAACGGCAUUUCAAAACAAUGCCUUUUAAGAAGAAACCCAUGCCAGCAAGCGGUGUACAUGCAUCAGCCAUCCAAGAGCCUGAAAUAUUUUCCACUGUGCAGAUCUACAAAGCCACUGUGGAGUUGUCACAGAAGCCUUUAACCAGGUUUCAUCUGUCCUGUGGAAGUCAAUCCAACAAGGCCAACACCCAUUUUUCUCUCCAAACUGUACCUCUACAUGGGAUUUUUUUACUCAAGCAAUGAUGCAGCUGAAUGGAAAAUAGCCAUGGAGCAGUUUUCAACACUGAGCAAAGCCUAUGCUGUUGCUGGAAUCUAAAUUGGACAGCAUGAGGCUUUGGGGCUUUGCAGCAAGGAGUCUUUAAAUUAGGAAAGUGUGAAGACUUUCCUGUGGUUUGGCACAUGGGCAGCAUUCCAUAAAUGUAUCACAGAAAUUAAAUAUAGAAAAGACCUGUUGAUAGGUCUAAUCCAUUUUGCUUGGAUAGCACAGAAUUGGUUCCUAUGGGACAGUCUGCAUUGUUUGCUUGAGAAAAGUUUAAAAUUUCCUAGGUGAUGAAGCUUUCAUCAAUUCUUUUCAGGAAACAAUUAACAGCCUAACACAUCUCAGUGUCAAGAAAUUUUUCUGAGAUUCUUCCAAUUUUUUUUUAUUUUUGCAACGUACAGCUCCUAGGUAUGUCCUACUGGCAUUACUGUUAUAAAUAAUUUCCUUUCCACCUGAGUGCUUACACUUUCAAAUUUUUCUGGUGUGCCGCAUGACCUAGGCAGAGGACAGGAUUAUACAUAUGGUGAUUUCCCAGUUCAAUCCUUUUCUAUUCCUUCACAUAAGCUUUUCCUGUAAAAUCCUCAAUCAGCAAAUUUUUCUUUUCUAGAUUCUCCCUGGUUAGAUCACUGCUUUUUCAGCAAAAUGGUGAAAUGGAUGGAUGAAAGUCUCACAAGCACAGGACACAGCAUUCAGUAUUAAGCAUUUUGGCUUCCUUAGAAUGAGUGUGCUGUAGUUUUUCAUGCGCUGUAAUACCCUGUAUGUUCCUGAGCUGUCAAUCAUUUCAGCAUUUGUUUUAUCUUCAACCACAAGUACAGUUUUUAGCAUUGGAAUGUAUGCCAAGUCUUUAGCAACUAGAGCACAAGCUCCUCUUCAGUACUUGUUUUGUUCAAGUUCAAUGCAUAAUGUAGGUCUCAUCUUGGUGUUGGUGGAAAGCUUACUCAUGGCAUUUAGCCACUCUUUAAUUUGGCAUGGUGGAUAAAAGUUAGCACUGUAGCUCUGGAACACGGUGUGCUGGCAGAAGUGCUGGGUCAGGAUCUAGAAAUGGAGCAGCAGUUAAGUGCCACAGUUGAAGAGAGCAGGUGAGCCAGGACCUGAGAUUACAAUACUGUUGACCAGGACCACAUUCAUCAGUGGGUUUUAGAGCUGAGAGAGAGUGGCACCGUUUAAACACGGCUCUGUGAGCAGUCAGGACUGCAGUCAGAGCAUGAAUGAGUUAAGGAUGGCUCUGGUGGAGAACACUUGGAAAUUUUUACAUUUCAGGGGAAGACUUUCUGAGACCUCAAAGACAGUGUCAUUCAUCUCUUUUCUCAAGACAGGCACUUGUCUAGUUUCUCACCUGUACAAUGCAAACUGUGAGAUGUACUCCAUUCUUUGU